CUCUUAAUUAGGGACGGACCAUUACAAAAGUGAUGGGGGGGGGGAAGGUGGGACAUUUCCAACCUGUACGAUUAUUUUUUCAAAAUUUUUUGCUUGUGUCGAUUUUUUUUUUAAAUCAUCCCUUGCUCGAAUUUUUUUUUUCAAAAAAGUGUUGGCGAGCAGGGGGGGGAGGGUGCUAACAUUUUUUCUGGACACUAAAAAAUGGGUCAAAAAAAUUUUUCCAGACUAACAUCAAUUAAGUUAAAAAAAAAAUUUUGCCUCACAAAUUCUUGCUAAGUAUGCUUAAAGCCUUUUUUGCACCAAUAUCUUCAAUAUUUAGGUUUAGAAACUUUUUCUGUCACACCAUUACUUACACUAUCAAAAAACGUUUUCCUUAGACAACUUAUAAUUUUCCCUUUGAAAAGUCUCUGAACGAAUUUUUUUAAAACUUUUUUCGUGCUCGAAUUUUUUUUUUUUUGUUUCCCCUGCCCGAUUUUUAUUUUUGAUACACUACUUACACUAUGAAAUAACAGUUACCAAAUGCAUUUCAUCUCAUUAUCUACCGUUUUUAAUACGUUCGGCACACGAGUAGCGCGACGUUUGAACUAACACAUCAGAGACGCCGUGCCCCGUGGAACUGAUACAAAUUCAUUUAUUUAUCCGGGGCCGUGGUUGUAUAAAAAAGUGAUUAAAGUUAACUAUGGUUAAGUGAAAACGUCAUCCAAUAAGAAGCGCGUAUUUGAGAGUUAAUCACUAUAUUUAACUACAAAAUAGUGAUUAAAAAAGUGAUUAAGAGUUUUAUACAAUCGGCCCCAGGUGCGACAACUCGAAAUUUAAAUUGUUUGACCAACAAACCAAAUUUUGCAUAUUCUAAAACUUCAUUUGCAUUUGCAGCUGUCCCUUAAAAGGAUGCAUUUUAUCCCCAUCCGUUCCGUAUUUUAUCCCCAUAUCCGUUCCGUGGAUCCACUCCCAAGAAAUGAUCCGUUGAAGAAAUGAAGGUGGAACAUAUACAUGCUUGUUCAGACAUUGUUUAGACAUUCUAUAACGACUUCCUUUCCUGCAGUUGAGUAUAAGUUUUGUUAAUAUUGGCUGUACUGUGCCAAUUUUACGCCAUCAACGACAAUUGUAUUUAAGUUGACAAUAUGUAACUGGUAUAUUUUGUGUUUCUCAACCGCCAGAUACAUUUGAAAAGGGUUGCUAACUGUGUAAACUACAGAUGCGUAAACUAGGAAUUUACGUUCGAAUGUCCACCUGUAUACCUGCUCUGGGAAGCUGCAUUCAAAUGAACUGUGACAAAACCCAACUGUAAACUAGCUGCCUAUACUAAAUUUAUUACUUAUCUUCUUAACUUCCUGGGCUAUUUUCC